rnacentral:rRNA from 1 species
CACGUAGGGGGCGAGCGUUGUCCGGAAUCAUUGGGCGUAAAGCGCGCGUAGGCGGCCACUUAAGUCGGAUGUGAAAGCCCCUGGCUCAACUGGGGAAGUGCACCCGAAACUGAAUGGCUUGAAUACAAAAGAGGGUCGCGGAAUUCCCGGUGUAGAGGUGAAAUUCGUAGAUAUCGGGAGGAACACCGGUGGCGAAGGCGGCGACCUGGGUUGAUAUUGACGCUGAGGCGCGAAAGCGUGGGGAGCAAACAGG